GACGAACGCUGGCGGCGUGCUUAACACAUGCAAGUCGAACGGAAAGGCCCUGCUCUUGUGGGGUGCUCGAGUGGCGAACGGGUGAGUAACACGUGAGUAACCUGCCCUUGACUUUGGGAUAACUUCAGGAAACUGGGGCUAAUACCGGAUAGGAGCUCCUGCUGCAUGGUGGGGGUUGGAAAGUUUCGGCGGUUGGGGAUAGACUCGCGGCUUAUCAGCUUGUUGGUGGGGUAGUGGCUUACCAAGGCUUUGACGGGUAGCCGGCCUGAGAGGGUGACCGGCCACAUUGGGACUGAGAGACGGCCCAGACUCCUACGGGAGGCAGCAGUGGGGAAUAUGGCACAAUGGGCGGAAGCCUGAUGCAGCAACGCCGCGUGCGGGAUGACGGCCUUCGGGUUGUAAACCGCUUUCGCCUGUGACGAAGCGUGAGUGACGGUAAUGGGUAAAGAAGCACCGGCUAACUACGUG
rnacentral:rRNA from 1 species